AUACGGAGGAUCCGAGCGUUAUCCGGAUUUAUUGGGUUUAAAGGGUGCGCAGGCGGCCAUUUAAGUCAGCGGUUAAAUCGUGGGGCUCAACCCCAUUCUGCCGUUGAUACUGGGUGGCUUGAUUGCGGUCGAGGUUGGCGGAAUUCGUUGUGUAGCGGUGAAAUGCAUAGAUAUGACGAAGAACACCGAUUGCGUAGGCAGCUGACCAGACCGCAAAUGACGCUCAUGCACGGAAGUGCGGGGAUCGAACAGGAUUAGAUACCCUGGUAGUCCGCACAGUAAACGAUGAAUACUUGUUUUCGGCGAUAUAAUGUCGGAGGCAAAGCGAAAGCGAUAAGUAUUCCACCUGGGGAGUACGCCGGCAACGGUGAAACUUAAAGGAAUUGACGGGG
rnacentral:rRNA from 1 species